CCACUGAAUUUUACUUAUUGACUUUGUGAAAACUAAGAUUGGGUGAAAAUAAGGGCAACAUGUAUGAUUUUUUAAAUUUUAAUCAUGGUUCGUAUCUGUUAUAUAGUAUCUAAAUAAUUGUAUAAAAUAUCCUUUGAAGCUUGUUUCACUGAUCUUUGCGUUGAACAUGUGAUCAAGAAGAUUUUUCUAUUUAGUUUAUAUAUGAAAGUCUUUCGUCACUUAAAAA
rnacentral:lncRNA from 1 species